GGUCCUAUAGUGUAGUGGUUAUCACAGUGGAUUUUGAUGAUGAUAUAUGGAUCAUGGUCAUCUUCCAUUAACCCAGGCUCGAAUCCUGGUUGGACCU